CCUCUAUCCAACCCAGGGAAGCCUGUUCCCAGUGUGCAUGUGUGCAGAGCUUCUAAAAGGCAAGAGCAGCUGAAACAGAAAGGGUGACUUAGGAGUAAGGCUGAGAGGUGAUUGCACCUCCUAUAAGGGAUAAAAGUCAGAC